AUGUGCUUGCGGGAUAAGGAUCUCUGGCUUAUGCGGUGCCCAUUGAUAUGCAACUGGGCGGUUGAGUUUCAUUUGCCGCAUCGCGUGUAUCGUCAGUUUGGUCUUUUCCAGCCUCACCCGCCGGAUUGGGUGGACACGGAUAAAGCACUUCAUAGGUUGGACAGGAGAAGGCAGCGGAAGAUAAAGGACUGGGCCAAGCAUCAUGCUUCGUAUGUUACCCGCUUCCAGCUUUCUAUGGAGCAAGCUCGUAGCACUGCACGCGCCCCGCUUCGUGAGCACAACCAACAAGCUUUUGAUAACUACGUACGAUGGUUUAUUGGAAAUACUCGAGUUGAGAUAUUGCCGCCGGCAUAUAAUGAGGAUAUUCUUGAAGAACCAGUAAACUAUGAGGAUCUAGCAAAGGGGAAGUACAACAGAGAUGUCAGGAAAGGGCAAGGAGUGCCUGCUGUUCCGGUGAUUAACUAUGUGGUAAAGUGUUCCGUUCUUUACUUUCCCGUUGACCGUAUUACACAUGUUUGA
rnacentral:rRNA from 1 species